rnacentral:rRNA from 1 species
ACGGGAGGCAGCAGUGAGGAAUAUUGGUCAAUGGGCGGAAGCCUGAACCAGCCAAGUAGCGUGCAGGAUGACGGCCCUAUGGGUUGUAAACUGCUUUUGUCAGGGAAUAAAAAGGAUUACGUGUAAUCCAUUGCAUGUACCUGAAGAAUAAGGACCGGCUAAUUCCGUGCCAGCAGCCGCGGUAAUACGGAAGGUCCAGGCGUUAUCCGGAUUUAUUGGGUUUAAAGGGAGCGUAGGCGGAUUAUCAAGUCAGUGGUAAAAUCGUGUGGCCCAACCAUACCUCGCCAUUGAAACUGUUAGUCUUGAGUGCACGCAGGGAUGCUGGAAUUCGUUGUGUAGCGGUGAAAUGCUUAGAUAUGACGAAGAACUCCGAUCGCGAAGGCAGGUGUCUGGAGUGCAACUGACGCUGAGGCUCGAAAGUGCGGGUAUCAAACAGGAUUAGAUACCCUGGUA